AAAUGUGUACGAGUUUCUUUCUUCUGUGGAAAACAAAGGCAGAUAUUUUGUAGAAGUGUCCUAGCUGCUCUUUUCCAUAACAAAAGAGGAUGUUAAACUCCAAAAUGGACAAAAAAAGGCACUUAUAAUGUGCUAUUUCAAGCCUGCUUUGGUAUCAAAACAUAACAUUGAACACUACUGCAGCUCUUAAAUUUAAUUUACACUAAUCUACAUUCAGGUAUGGCAAGUUAAGUCACAUUGCAUCAGAUUUGACAUCAGUAUAAAUGAACUGAUCACAGGACAUGAAAGAAGCAAUAAAAUUAGAUGACAUUUCUCUUCUUUCGCAUUUUGGGAGAACUAUUUCUCCAGCAAUAAAGAGAAACAGACAAGAAGUACAGCCAAAUUAAAGGGACUGCAUUUCCACACAUCUGAUUUUUAUCCCUUAAAAUGCAUUAAAUGUACUCUUUAUUUUCUUUCAUGAUGUGGCAAUUUCCUGAUAUUAUCUGAACUGAUUAAACCUCCUUAAUCUCAAACAGGAAACUACUUUGCUUUUAAUGACCGCGUAGGAGGCAUCAUGGGAUAUGGAGUCCAUUUCAACAAUGAAACUUGUUAAAUAAUUGAGAUGAAGGGGGAGGAGAGAGAACGAGAGACACACACAGGACUCGUUGGCUCAGAUCAAUGCGAUGAUCUGCUGUUGUGUGUGUGUUGUGAAGGGGAAGUAAUUAAAUUGUAAUGAGUGUUGAUCUGUUUAGAGACCCUGAACAGGCUGCAGCACUUUCCUCAAGACACUGAAACCAACAACCUUCACCCACACACAAGAUGGCAGAGAGGAAGAGACAAAGAGGAGGAAGGAACACAGAAAGAACUGUCUGGAGUAUCAGGCGGAGCUGUCCGUGGUGCUGACGAGAGAGAGACUCCGCGCUCGUGCUCACGGUGCUGCUCAGCCAUAAACACACCGAGUGCGCGAGAGCGAUGUGCAACGCACUCACGACUCCCCUUUAAAACAGACCGAAGGCAAAGGUAAGAAGGUUUUUGUAUUUAAACACUCAUU
ensembl:lncRNA